ACAAACUUGGUCAUUUAGAGGAAGUAAAAGUCGUAACAAGGUCUCCGUUGGUGAACCAGCGGAGGGAUCAUUACCGAGUUUACAACUCCCAAACCCAUUGAGAACCUUACCUUUGUUGCUUCGGCGGGAAUGCCCCGGCGCCCUUGCUGCCCGGACUCAGGCGCCCGCCGGAGGCCCCAAACUCUUGUUUUUAGAACUGGAUUUUUCUGAGUUAUCAAACAAAUAAAUCAAAACUUUCAACAACGGAUCUCUUGGUUCUGGCAUCGAUGAAGAACGCAGC
rnacentral:misc_RNA from 1 species